rnacentral:rRNA from 1 species
AUUGAACGCUGGCGGCAUGCCUUACACAUGCAAGUCGAACGGCAGCACGGGUGCUUGCACCUGGUGGCGAGUGGCGAACGGGUGAGUAAUACAUCGGAACAUGUCCUGUAGUGGAGGAUAGCCCGGCGAAAGCCGGAUUAAUACCGCAUACGAUCUACGGAGGAAAGCGGGGGACCUUCGGGCCUCGCGCUAUAGGGUUGGCCGAUAGCUGAUUAGCUAGUUGGUGGGGUAAAGGCCUACCAAGGCGACGAUCAGUAGCUGGUCUGAGAGGACGACCAGCCACACUGGGACUGAGACACGGCCCAGACUCCUACGGGAGGCAGCAGUGGGGAAUUUUGGACAAUGGGCGAAAGCCUGAUCCAGCAAUGCCGCGUGUGUGAAGAAGGCCGUCGGGUUGUAAAGCACUUUUGUCCGGAAAGAAAUCCUUGGCUCUAAUACAGUCGGGGGAUGACGGUACCGGAAGAAUAAGCACCGGCUAACUACGUG